AUGAACGUUGGCAGCGUGGAUUAGGCAUGCAAGUCGAGCGACAAGGUACUUCGGUACUGGAGGAGCGGCAAACGGGGUAGUAAGGCAUCGGAACGUACCCUCUUGUUCAGGAUACCCGCGGGAAACUGCGGUUAAUACUGGAUAAUCCCGAAAGGGCAAAGGUCCGCCGCGGGAGGAGCGGCCGAUGUGAUAUCAGGUAGUUGGUAGGGUAAUGGCCUACCAAGCCGAAGACGUCUAGGGGAUGUGAGAGCAUGAUCCCCACCACUGGGACUGAGAUACUGCCCAGACACCUACGGGUGGCUGCAGUCGAGAAUCUUCGGCAAUGGGCGCAAGCCUGACCGAGCGACGCUGCGUGUGGGAUGAAGGCCCUUGGGUUGUAAACCACUGUCAGAGGGGAUGAAAGCGUAAGCUUGACAGAGCCUCAGAGGAAGCGCGGGCUAAGUUCGU
rnacentral:rRNA from 1 species